GCAAGUCACACAAAAAAAUAAAAAAUAAACAUUGGAAUAAAUAUUGAAAACCAAAACAAAAAGAAAGCGAACGUGAGAGAUAGAGACGGCGGCGAGAAGCGGAGGAGGAGGAGUUGCUGUUUCUUCUUCUUCCUUAGGUUUUUUUUUUUUAAUAUACGUGGUAUCUGUAGAGGUUUUUCACCCCACGUAGCUCUUGAGGGUUUGAGAUUUUUUUGGUCCGGGGCACCAUCAAACUCUGAGACUCCAAAGGGAACAAACCCUUGAGACCCGAGCUCCCUUCCGCUGGGCCAACCCUCCAACCCUCUCAGGGUUGUGUGUAGAUAAUAAUAAUGCAAGAUCUCUAUAUUAUACUAUUUGUUAUUCAAUUAGUACUUCUGCAAUGUUAUUAUUGGAGCAUUAUUUACUCUUGAUAGCUCAUGGAAAGAGAUAGCUAGAAAAGAAGCAUUCCCAACAUUCAAUCGUUGUACUCUUCCAUCAAGACCACUUUAUAAUGGAAGCAAUGAUCUUUACAGGAUAACAAAUGCGGGAGUGAUUGUGAUGGAUAUUGAUAAGGAAAUUGUUGUACGAGAAUAUCCUCUUCCUCGUAUAACCAUGAACCCAUUUGAGAUAUUUUUACAUAUGGGCGACCGUCUUUCUCGCAGUGUCUAUAGAUUCUUAUAGAACAUAUCAAAUCUAUAUAUUUGAUUUUGAUUCAGGAAAGUGAUCUCUCUAUCAUGAGAUGGACCCUUUUGAUUA